AUCCUUAUGUGAAUCAUAAGUGGACGGGGUUUUUACAUCACUCUGUAAGAUGUGCUCGCCUCAAACCUUGUUGCAAAGCCAGCACAUUAGCUUUGUGAUA